GGGAGGCAGGGGAGAUUCUGAGUACAGAUACUAGAACAAAUAGUUUUUGCCUUCCUGGUUUUUUUGUUUAUAGAGAAAGCCUUGUUGUAGAUGUAGAUGGGAAAUAAGCUCCUCUCCAUUGGAGUGAAGUAUGUUUUUAAAACUAAUUAGAGAUGAAAUUGAGGUUUAUUUUAAAAAGUAAAAUCAAAAGUCAUAAUUGGAGAGUUGGACUCUUUGAUUUUCCGCCCUAUAUUAAGUCCAGAUAGAAACCUCUUCUCCAGAGUUGCCAGAUAAUUAUUGGUGAGGUACAACCACUCUCUCUGUUUCUUUCUUUACUCUUCCUUGGUUUCUGUGCAUCUUCCUUAACAUCAAGCAUUUCAUUAUUUUUUUCACCUGUAAUUUAAACUAAUUCAGUAG
rnacentral:lncRNA from 1 species